rnacentral:rRNA from 1 species
GACGAACGCUGGCGGCGUGCUUAACACAUGCAAGUCGAACGGUAAGGCCCUUCGGGGUACACGAGUGGCGAACGGGUGAGUAACACGUGGGUGAUCUGCCCUGCACUUCGGGAUAAGCCUGGGAAACUGGGUCGAAUACCGGAUAGGACCACUGCCUGCAUGGGUGGUGGGGAAAGCUUUUGCGGUGUGGGAUGGGCCCGCGGCCUAUCAGCUUGUUGGUGGGGUGAUGGCCUACCAAGGCGACGACGGGUAGCCGGCCUGAGAGGGUGACCGGCCACACUGGGACUGAGAUACGGCCCAGACUCCUACGGGAGGCAGCAGUGGGAAUAUUGCACAAUGGGCGCAAGCCUGAUGCAGCGACGCCGCGUGAGGGAUGACGGCCUUCGGGUUGUAAACCUCUUUCAGCACCGACGAAGCGCAAGUGACGGUAGGUGCAGAAGAAGGACCGGCCAACUACGUGCCAGCAGCCGCCGUAA